AAAUAGUGUAGUUUUGCAUAGUUCAUGUUCAACGUUUAACCGUUCGCCUUAUUUGAUUUUUUUAUGAUUAGUAUUAUUAUUAUUAGAUGAUAAAACAUGAAUAGUACUUUAUGUCUGACCUUUUUUUAAAAAAAAAUCAUAAAUUUAUCAAAUAAGAUGGACGGUAAAACGUUGGACACGAAUAUCCACGGCUGUAAUUAUU
rfam:Oryza rufipogon genomic scaffold, chr02